rnacentral:tRNA from 1 species
ACUUCUAUAGUGUAAUUUAACACAUAACAUUUUCACUAUUAAAAUAGGUUAUAACCUUAGAAGAA